rnacentral:rRNA from 1 species
AGCGAACGCUGGCGGCAGGCUUAACACAUGCAAGUCGAGCGCUCGUAGCAAUACGAGAGCGGCAGACGGGAGAGUAACACGUGGGAACGUACCCUUUGGUUCGGAACAACACAGGGAAACUUGUGCUAAUACCGGAUAAGCCCUUACGGGGAAAGAUUUAUCGCCAAAGGAUCGGCCCGCGUCUGAUUAGCUAGUUGGGUGGGAACGGCUCACCAAGGCGACGAUCAGUAGCUGGCUGAGAGGAUGACCAGCCUCAUUGGGACUGAGACACGGCCCAAACUCCUACGGGAGGCAGCAGUGGGGAAUAUUNCACAAUGGGGCGGAAGGCCUGAUGCAGCGACGCCGCGUGAGGGAUGACGCCU